CUACAUAGGUAUCGUCCUGUUUGCUCCCACUUUGCAGUACGCAGGCGAUGGUGUUAUCCGAGGCUGCCUUCGCCAUCGGUGUUCCUCCGCAUAUCUACGCGCUUCCACUGCUACGCGGAAUUCCACCUCCCUCUGACACACUCAGCUCGGUAGAUUAAAUGCCCGGUUCAAAGUUAAACAGGUUCACAUCUUUCUUUCCAGACCGCCUUUCGCCUUUUGCGCCCGGUAAUUCCGUUAACGCCGCCUGCAUGUACCGGCUGCUGGCGUCGUUAGCCAGUGCUUAUUCUGCAGGCGCGAUCAGUUGCACAAGGUGUCGCCGUGCGUUCCUUUCCCUGCCAAGGGUGCUUUUUAACCCGAAGGCCUUCCAUCGCACACGCGGAUGGCUGGAUCAGGGUUCCCCAUUGUCCAAAUUCCCCACUGCUGCGUCCGUA
rnacentral:misc_RNA from 1 species